rnacentral:miRNA from 1 species
UAAGUCAUGAAAAGGUUUUUUU